rnacentral:rRNA from 1 species
GUGAGGAAUAUUGGUCAAUGGGCGGAAGCCUGAACCAGCCAAGUCGCGUGAGGGAAGACGGUCCUAUGGAUUGUAAACCUCUUUUGCCGGGGAGCAAUGACAUUCUUGCGAGAGUGUAGGGAGAGUACCCGGAGAAAAAGCAUCGGCUAACUCCGUGCCAGCAGCCGCGGUAAUACGGAGGAUGCGAGCGUUAUCCGGAUUUAUUGGGUUUAAAGGGUGCGUAGGCGGGCUGUUAAGUCAGCGGUCAAAGGUCGGGGCUAAACCCCGGCAGGAAGGGGAAAAGGGAGGGAGGGAGGGAGAGAGAAGGAGGAGGAAGGAGGGGGGGAGCGGGGAAAGGAAGAGAGAGCACGCAGAACUCCGAUGGCGAAGGCAGCAUACCGGCGCGCAACUGACGCUGAGGCACGAAAGCGUGGGGAGCGAACAGGA